GUCGAACGAGAAGGAACCUUCGGGUUCUGAGUAGAGUGGCGCACGGGUGAGUAACACGUGGAUAAUCUGCCUGAUGGACAGGGAUAACACCCCGAAAGGGGUGCUAAUACCGGAUAAGCCCACAGCAUCUACGGAUGCAGCGGGAGAAGGGGGCCUCUUCAUGAAAGCUUCCGUCAUCAGAUGAGUCCGCGGUCCAUUAGCUAGUUGGUAGGGUAAAGGCCUACCAAGGCGACGAUGGAUAGCUGGUUUGAGAGAAUGAUCAGCCACACUGGAACUGAGACACGGUCCAGACUCCUACGGGAGGCAGCAGUGGGGAAUCUUGCGCAAUGGGGGCAACCCUGACGCAGCAACGCCGCGUGAGUGAUGAAGGUGUUCGGAUCGUAAAGCUCUGUCAGGAGGGAAGAAACCCCGAACGGUUAAUACCCGUUCGGAUUGACGGUACCUCCAAAGGAAGCACCGGCUAACUCCGUGCCAGCAGCCGCGGUAAUACGGAGGGUGCAAGCGUUGUUCGGAAUUAUUGGGCGUAAAGCGCGUGCAGGCGGUUUGUUAAGUCUGAUGUGAAAGCCCCGGGCUCAACCUGGGAAGUGCAUUGGAAACUGGCUGACUUGAGUACGGGAGAGGGAAGUGGAAUUUCGAGUGUAGGGGUGAAAUCCGUAGAUAUUCGAAGGAACACCAGUGGCGAAGGCGGCUUCCUGGACCGAUACUGACGCUGAGACGCGAAAGCGUGGGGAGCGAACAGGAUUAGAUACCCUGGUAGUCCACGCCGUAAACGCUGGGUAC
rnacentral:rRNA from 1 species